rnacentral:snRNA from 1 species
AAGUUAUGAAAUAAAAGUAUCAAAGUAAUGAGUAGAUUUGCGAAAAUGGUGAUCUGCUCCCACUAAAGAUUCUAUUAAAAUAUACUCCUCAGGCCGUGGUUGUAACAAGGUAUAAGAUUUACGGCUUUGCCAUUCUCUUCAAUAAAAGCAAAAAUUGCCUCUCUGACUUUGGCACUCAUCAUCGAAGAUUUAGAACCGGGAGGAUCAAUCCAAGUGACUCCCUUGUUCUUGAUAAAAUUCUCUAAAAUAGCUUACGAGACAAACC